GUGAGGCCUUCGGACUGGCCCAGGGAGGUCGGCAACGACCACCCAGGGCCGGAAAGUUCGUCAAACUUGGUCAUUUAGAGGAAGUAAAAGUCGUAACAAGGUCUCCGUAGGUGAACCUGCGGAGGGAUCAUUA
rnacentral:rRNA from 1 species